UACGGAGGGGGCUAGCGUUGUUCGGAAUCACUGGGCGUAAAGCGCACGUAGGCGGCUUUUAAGUCAGAGGUGAAAUCCUGGAGCUCAACUCCAGAACUGCCUUUGAUACUGAGAGGCUUGAGUCCGGGAGAGGUGAGUGGAACUGCGAGUGUAGAGGUGAAAUUCGUAGAUAUUCGCAAGAACACCAGUGGCGAAGGCGGCUCACUGGCCCGGCACUGACGCUGAGGUGCGAAAGCGUGGGGAGCAAACAGG
rnacentral:rRNA from 1 species